GGAUGCGAUCAUACCAGCACUAAAGCAUCGGAUCCCAUCAGAACUCCGAAGUUAAGCGUGCUUGGGCGAGAGUAGUACUAGGAUGGGUGACCUCCUGGGACGUCCUCGUGUUGCAUUCC
rnacentral:rRNA from 1 species